rnacentral:tRNA from 1 species
AGGGAGCUGGAAGGUGCGAAAUGCGGAACGGAUUGCCCGCAAACCCGCAUGAAUCCUCAAUUUCUCGUGGGACUCAAAAUCCCCCGCCGCAAGGCGUGCCGGUUCGAUUCCGGCCCCGGGCACCA